rnacentral:tRNA from 1 species
UAUUCUGUAGCUUAGCUGGUUAAAGCGCCGAUCUAGCGUGGGUUUGAAUCCCUCCAGAAAGA